CGCUCCUUCCGGUGGAGCCCACGCAGGUGACCCUGAUCAGCCCAUGCCAGCUGCCGCCCUGGCAGUCACACGUCCGCCCCUCGUUCCUCCAGGCAAGCAACAGAGCCUAAAGAACCCAUGUCCAAUCAUCCUGGCGACCUAUGUCCAGGGAAUUGUCACUAACCAGCCAGCCACAUGGACGUGCGCUGGCGGGGAACCAUGGAGUAACAAAGGGCUGGAACUUGCCCUGGAAUUUCUGGGUCCCUUGAGAACAUCAUUUUCUCUCCCACUGUGACCCGGCCCUCCACCCAGGCCCUCUCACCUUGUCCUUCAGCAUGGGCAAGGUCUCCUUCUCCAGUGCCUCCCCCCAAAACUGCUGCUCCUCUGAGAGGUCCAUUGGGAAGGAGAGUAUGAAGCGGACCAGGGCCUCCACAACUGCUCAGGCUCACGUCACGGAGUCCAGGCCUCCCUGAGCAGCAGUUCCUCCACCUCCGAAUCCAGCCGGAUCCUCCCUCACCUAUCAAGGGGUCCACGAACUCCACAAUGGUGUUGGCAAGCGCUUCUACCAGGCUCCCAGCUUUGGAGAGCCAGAUCCUCCUGCCGCAGCUCUCCAAAGAUCAGGACGUCAAACACCUGGAGCCAGGAGGUCCUGCUCCCUGUGAAGUCACUGGAUGAGGAAGCUCAGAGCACCUUUUCUCUGCUUAUUCAGGCCCCGGAGGCUUCUCACCGUGUCCUGCACCUUCUCCUUCACGCUUCUGGAAACCUCCAAACUCGAGGACCUUCCUGUAAAGGCAGAAGUUAUGAACCUGACCCGCCCAGCCCAGUAGGCUUCAUUCCUAAAGCCCCUCCAGCCCCAUUAUUGUCUGCCUUGCUUUCAGAGACCACCUGCCUGUGUCUUCCCUUCUUCCAGUCUCAUCCUGUGGGAGGGAACCCUCCUCCAGCCUCUCACCACCAAUGCUUCUGGAUGAUGCCGCUCCCAUCUCCCAGACUCAACCCCAGUUUAACCCAAUCCCAAGUUCUCUGCCUCUGCGAUAUCAAAACCGGGUCAGUCAGUCCUUGCCUCUCAAAAUGCAGUGGCACUCAAUCCACUCAAAAUCCUCCACUCUAGAGGAGGGAGGGCUGAGGACUUUAAAGCAGUGCUGCCUGAAAAUCACCUGGAGGUUGUUAAAACCCCAGGGCGCAGGCCACGCCCCAGCCAAGCAAGUCCGGGUUUCCCAAGGCGGGACUCGGACAAGGCCAGUUUAAAGUCUCCCAGGGGAUUUCAGCAUUCAAACAUUGAGAACCCCGUUGUGUUUAGAGGAAGACCCUCCCAGCCCUGCACACGCCACUCAGCAGAGCAGCAGUCUGGGGUUGAGGCCCCAGGGGAUGGGUGCAGCCCCCAGCACACCUGGCUGCACUACGCUUGCUAAGCAAGUUGAGCCUCUGUCCUGAUCCCCAAAGAGGAGCUUCAGAGGCUCGUGGGUCAGCUCUGGUCCCCUGUAUGCACUUUUCCCAGGGGUGGAGAUUCUGACUCCCAGAUUCAGCCUUUGUGAAAGGGAGGCCGCCUGCACCCCAUUCUGGGGUGUAAAGAGCAAAGUGCUGCAUCUGUGGGCUUGGAAGCCAUGGGGUUCAGCCUGAGCAGUUGCCUGAGGGGAUAGGCAAUUCGGAGGAGCUCGGGCACAGCGGGCCCUCGGUCACCCCUCCAGCCUUUCCCAAGACUCCAGCGGAACAGCACUGCUGGGAUCCAGGGCUUCAGAACCACAGGGACCUCCUAGCCUAGCACCACUCCUUUUCUAGGGCCUUGUGCAUGCUAACUAGGUAAGUGCCAUGCUAUAC
ensembl:lncRNA